rnacentral:rRNA from 1 species
AGUGACGAUAGCCUAGGAGAUACACCUGUUCCCAUGCCGAACACAGAAGUUAAGCCCUAGCACGCCUGAUGUAGUUGGGGG